rnacentral:tRNA from 2 species
AAGAUUUUACCUUAAUGAAAGGAUCUGAGUUGCAUACAGAAGAUGUGGGUUAGUGUCCCGCAAGUCUUA